rnacentral:rRNA from 1 species
AGUGAACGCUGGCGGUAGGCCUAACACAUGCAAGUCGAACGGCAGCACAGUAAGAGCUUGCUCUUACGGGUGGCGAGUGGCGGACGGGUGAGGAAUACAUCGGACUCUACUUUUUCGUGGGGGAUAACGUAGGGAAACUUACGCUCAUACCGCAUACGACCUACGGGUGAAAGCAGGGGAUCUUCGGACCUUGCGCGAUUGAAUGAGCCGAUGUCGGAUUAGCUAGUUGGCGGGGUAAAGGCCCACCAAGGCGACGAUCCGUAGCUGGUCUGAGAGGAUGGUCAGCGACACUGGAACUGAGACACGGUCCAGACGCCUACGGGAGGCAGCAGUGGGGAAUAUUGGACAAUGGGCGCAAGCCUGAUCCAGCCAUACCGCGUGGGUGAAGAAGGCCUUCGGGUUGUAAAGCCCUUUUGUUGGGAAAGAAAAGCAGCAGGUUAAUACCCCGCUGUUCUGACGGUACCCAAAGAAUAAGCACCGGCUAACUUCGUG